rnacentral:tRNA from 1 species
GCGGUCGUGGCGGAACUGGUAGACGCGCAACGUUGAGGUCGUUGUGCCCGAAAGGGCGUGGAAGUUCGAGUCUUCUCGACCGCACCA